CUCUCUCUCUCUCUCUCUCUCGUCACUGGAAAACUGCUCCUGUCGGCUGGAAAGAGAGUCUACCGGCGAUAGUAAAGGAACUAAGCAACUAAUUUCUCUACCCCUCUCUUCGAUAACGUGUGACUUUCGCUUGCGGUGAAAACGCGACUUCGCAUGACUGAGGUUUUAUUUUCUAGGGAGCUCAACGGUUUCCUGCGACUUCUGUCAAUUAGAUUGCUCGGGUUUCUCCUCAACUUUCUCGAAGAAUGUCAGUUGAGCUGUGUUGCCACCACACACUGUGAGUAAUAGUAAAUAGUGCAUAUCAUCAUUAGCAUGCAUAAAUAUUUACCAUAUAAAAAAAGAGUUUAAAUAUUAACUUAGUAAUCAUUUCUAUAUUAUUAUUUUAUUAUUAAUAUAUAAUUAUAUUCAUAUGUUAAUACCGUAAUUAUAUCUUCAUAUUAGCAUUUUAAUUAUUAAUUUGAUGUAUCUUGUAUUGAAUAAAUUGCUUGAUUAUUUGUGUUGUGAUAUUGAUAUGCCUUAUUUGUGUGGAAUUGAGAUGAAAUCGGUCACCACUAGUGAUAUGGAUGAUAUGAAAAAAAACCGUAGGGUGGCCUCCUGUUGGUGCUAGAAAAGAAAAGAGAAUGAAAAAACAAUGAGAGGGCCUAUCAAGUGAGAAUUAGACCGAUUGCCAUGUAUGGGGAUCGGAUCCCUGGUGCACACAUCAUGAGAGGGCGGGUCAUGUGUGAGGACGAUUCGUCAGGAGUCUCGGUGAUGCCACAGACCAAUCUCUACUUUCUUGAUUAUGUGAACGUGCUAUUGUAUGCAGAUGCUAUUGUUUGCCAUGUGCGUGAUUGAUCGAGUGUUCAUCUUAGUGCCAUUAGGAAUCAUCUCGUGUGAAUGUUUGGGGCAUGUGCUAUAUUUAUUAUUAUUCACUGAGUUUUAUACUCACUCCUUUUUCAAGAAAUUGAAGCGCUCUUCCUCCUUUCUCCAUAGAGUUUGUUGAAGUAAUAACUAGUUUUAUACAGUAGUUUCUAUCUAGCUAGGUUCCCCUAAUAUUUGCAACAGUCGGAGAUAUUUGCAAUUACUAUAGGAGUGUUAUGUAUGUAACAAUAAUAAUAAUUAAAUGUGAACUCUUAUUUUGAUAAAUUUGAAUUUAUGGUUGAAUA